rnacentral:misc_RNA from 1 species
GCGGAUCAAAAAGGUUCUUAACUGUAUAAAGAAUUUAUACAGCAUAUAACAGUCACAAUUCAUUGCCAAUCAAUUAGAAUAUUAUAUAUAAUCCAAAUAUCAAAUUACAGAGAAAUAAAAUCUCUAUGCUGGAAAAUAACAUUUAUCAUUUCCAUCAUUUUAGAUGCAAUCAAAAGAACCAAAAAAUAAAUCCUGAUCCUCCUCAAGUGACAGUAUCCCUCCAUAAAAUAUUUUUUUGAUAAGAGAAGAAAUUUUUAUUAAAGAAGAAUACAACAUGGAGGAUAACUAACAAAGUAGAGAAAAAAAAAAGGAAAAUAACUGAAAAUUAGAGCCCUCCAAUUAUGCCAAAAAAUAGUCAAAGACUGAUAGAAGUAGCCCAUCAGUGAAUCAUGAAGACUUGGGCCA